AAACUUGUGCUAAUACCGUAUACCCCCUUUGGGGGAAAGAUUUAUCGGAGAUGGAUGACCCCGCGUUGGAUUAGCUAGUUGGUGGGGUAAAGGCCUACCAGGGCGACUAUCCAUAGCUGGUCUGAGAGGAUGAUCACCCACUUUGGGACUGACACACGGCCCAAACUCCUACGGGAGGCAGCAGUGGGGAAUAUUGGACAAUGGGCGCAAGCCUGAUCCACCCAUGCCGCGUGAGUGAUGAAGGCCUUAGGGUUGUAAAGCUCUUUCACCGGAAAAGAUAAUGACGGUCUCCGGAAAAAAACCCCCGGCUAAUUUCGUGCCAGCAGCCGCGGUAAUACAAAGGGGGCUAGCGUUGUUCGGAAUUACUGGGCGUAAAGCGCACGUAGGCGGAUCGAUCAGUCAGGGGUGAAAUCCCAGAUCUCAACUCUGGAACUGCCUUUGAUACUGUCGAUCUAGAGUAUGGAAGAGGUGAGUGGAAUUCCGAGUGUAGAGGUGAAAUUCGUAGAUAUUCGGAGGAACACCAGUGGCGAGGGCGGCUCACUGGUCCAUUACUGACUCUGAGGUGCGAAAGCGUGGGGAGCACACAGGAUUAUAUACCCUGGUAGUCCACGCCGUAAACGAUGAAUGUUAGCCGUCGGCAAGUUUACUUGUCGGUGGCGCACGUAACGCAUUAAACAUUCCGCCUGGGGAGUACGGUCGCAAGAUUAAAACUCAAAGGGAUUCGACGGGGCGCCCGCACAGCUGGUAGGAGCAUGUGUUAUA
rnacentral:rRNA from 1 species